rnacentral:sRNA from 1 species
AGGAAAAAAGACUAUGAUUUUGCAACUGCGAUAUGCAGACCUGACGAAGUUUGCGGACAUUACACACAGGUUGUGUGGGCCAAAUCCUACGCUCUGGGAUGUGGGAAAAAGUUGUGCUCAACGCUGACCGGGACCGAGUAUAAAGAUGACAUCUCUAAUGCCAAUUACAUCACUUGUCAGUAUGGACCGGCUGGCAAUACUAUUGGUAGGCCUAUGUACAUCGAUGGAAUGGCUUGCACAUUGUGCCCACCUGAUAGAUAUUGUAGAGAAUCACUUUG